CGACGUGAGCAAUCUGCCUUUAAGAGGGGGAUAACAGUCGGAAACGGCUGCUAAUACCGCAUAAAGCAUCAAAUUCGCAUGUUUUUGAUGCCAAAGGAGCAAUCCGCUUUUAGAUGAGCUCGCGUCUGAUUAGCUGGUUGGCGGGGUAACGGCCCACCAAGGCGACGAUCAGUAGCCGGACUGAGAGGUUGGACGGCCACAUUGGGACUGAGACACGGCCCAG
rnacentral:rRNA from 1 species